rnacentral:rRNA from 1 species
GACGAACGCUGGCGGCGUGCUUAACACAUGCAAGUCGAACGGAAAGGCCCUGCUUUUGUGGGGUGCUCGAGUGGCGAACGGGGGAGUAACACGUGAGUAACCUGCCCUUGACUGUGUGAUAACUUCAGGAAACUGGGGCUAAUACCGGAGAGGAGCUCUUGCUGCAUGGGGGGGGUUGGAAAGUUUCGGCGGUUUGGGAUGGACUGGCGGCUUAUCAGCUUGUUGGUGGGGUAGUGGCUUACAAAGGCUUUGACGGCUAGCCGGCCUGAGAGGGUGACCGGCCACCUUGGGCCUGCGAGACGGACCAGACUGCUACGGUAGGCAGAAGUCGGGAACAUUGCGGAAUGGGCCGGAGUCUGAUGCAGAAACCCCGCGUGCGUGAUGCUCGGUUUUGGGUUGUAAACAGCUUUCGAAGGUGCCGAAGCGUGCGUGACGGUAAUGGGUCAAGAAGCACCGGCUAACUACGUG